GACGAACGCUGGCGGCGUGCUUAACACAUGCAAGUCGAGCGGUAAGGCCCUUUCGGGGGUACACGAGCGGCGAACGGGUGAGUAACACGUGGGUGACCUGCCUCUAGCUCUGGGAUAAGCCUGGGAAGCUGGGUCUAAUACCGGAUAUGACCUCGCGGUGCAUGUUGCGGGGUGGAAAGCCUUGUGCGGCUAGGGAUGGGCCCGCGGCCUAUCAGCUUGUUGGUGGGGUGANGGCCUACCAAGGCGACGACGGGUAGCCGGCCUGAGAGGGCGACCGGCCACACUGGGACUGAGACACGGCCCAGACUCCUACGGGAGGCAGCAGUGGGGAAUCUUGCGCAAUGGGCGAAAGCCUGACGCAGCGACGCCGCGUGAGGGAUGACGGCCUCGGUUGUAAC
rnacentral:rRNA from 1 species